rnacentral:rRNA from 1 species
GACGAACGCUGGCGGCGUGCUUAACACAUACAAGUCGAACGAUGAAGCCGGAGCUUGCUCUGGUGAAUUAGUGGCGAACGGGUGAGUAACACGUGAGUAACCUGCCCUUGACUCUGGGAUAACUGCUAGAAAUGGUAGCUAAUACCGGAUACGACCCUCGGAGGCAUCUCCAGGGGGUGGAAAGAAUUUCGGUCAAGGAUGGACUCGCGGCCUAUCAGCUAGUUGGUGAGGUAACGGCUCACCAAGGCGACGACGGGUAGCCGGCCUGAGAGGGCGACCGGCCACACUGGGACUGAGACACGGCCCAGACUCCUACGGGAGGCAGCAGUGGGGAAUAUUGCACAAUGGGCGCAAGCCUGAUGCAGCAACGCCGCGUGAGGGAUGACGGCCUUCGGGUUGUAAACCUCUUUUAGUAGGGAAGAAGCGAAAGUGACGGUACCUGCAGAAAAAGCACCGGCUAACUACGUGCCAGCAGCCGCAGUAA